CCUACGGGCGGCUGCAGUAGGGAAUCUUCGGCAAUGGACGAAAGUCUGACCGAGCAACGCCGCGUGAGUGAAGAAGGUUUUCGGAUCGUAAAGCUCUGUUGUAAGAGAAGAACGGGUGUGAGAGUGGAAAGUUCACACUGUGACGGUAUCUUACCAGAAAGGGACGGCUAACUACGUGCCAGCAGCCGCGGUAAUACGUAGGUCCCGAGCGUUGUCCGGAUUUAUUGGGCGUAAAGCGAGCGCAGGCGGUUAGAUAAGUCUGAAGUUAAAGGCUGUGGCUUAACCAUAGUACGCUUUGGAAACUGGUUAACUUGAGUGCAGAAGGGGAGAGUGGAAUUCCAUGUGUAGCGGGGAAAUGCGUAGAGAUAUGGAGGAACACCGGUGGCGAAAGCGGCUCUCUGGUCUGUAACUGACGCUGAGGCUCGAAAGCGUGGGGAGCGAACAGGAGUAGAUACCCGAGGAAGUC
rnacentral:rRNA from 1 species